rnacentral:rRNA from 1 species
GAUGAACGCUAGCUACAGGCUUAACACAUGCAAGUCGAGGGGCAGCGCAGUGUAGCAAUACAUGGGCGGCGACCGGCGCACGGGUGCGUAACGCGUAUCCAACCUUCCCGUUACUCUUGGAUAGCCUUCCGAAAGGGAGAUUAAUACAAGAUGGUAUUCAAAUUCCGCAUGUUAUUUGAAUUAAAGAUUUAUCGGUAACGGAUGGGGAUGCGUGACAUUAGAUAGUAGGCGGGGUAACGGCCCACCUAGUCUACGAUGUCUAGGGGUUCUGAGAGGAAGGUCCCCCACACUGGAACUGAGACACGGUCCAGACUCCUACGGGAGGCAGCAGUGAGGAAUAUUGGUCAAUGGUCGGAAGACUGAACCAGCCAAGUAGCGUGAAGGAUGAAGGUUCUAUGGAUUGUAAACUUCUUUUAUACGGGAAUAAAACCUCCCACGUGUGGGAGCUUGUAUGUACCGUAUGAAUAAGCAUCGGCUAACUCCGUG